CGACCUGCACGAAUGGCGUAACGAUGGGGGCGCUGUCUCUACCCGAGACUCAGUGAAAUUGAAAUCGCCGUGAAGAUGCGGUGUAUCCGCGGCUAGACGGAAAGACCCCGUGAACCUUUACUAUAGCUUCACAGUGAACUUUGAGCAUGUUUGUGUAGGAUAGCUGGGAGGCUUUGAAACCAUCACGCCAGUGAUGGUGGAGCCAACCUUGAAAUACCAGCCUGACCUGUUUGAGGUUCUAACUUCGACCCCUUAUCGGGGUUAAGGACACUGUGUGGUGGGUAGUUUGACUGGGGCGGUCUCCUCCCAAAGCGUAACGGAGGAGCACAAAGGUGGGCUAAGCAUGGUCGGACAUCAUGCGGUUAGUGUAAUGGCACAAGCCCGCUUAACUGCGAGACAGACACGUCGAGCAGGUACGAAAGUAGGUCAUAGUGAUCCGGUGGUUCUGUAUGGAAGGGCCAUCGCUCAACGGAUAAAAGGUACUCCGGGGAUAAC
rnacentral:rRNA from 1 species